rnacentral:lncRNA from 1 species
GGAAAUUCUAUGUUUCAUGUGGAAUUCGAUGUGCGGUGAAGACAGUCGAAAUCGAGCCGAUGUGGGCCCAUGCCAAUCGGCAUGGAGACAGGCUGAUCUGCAUGGCUCCAAAUAUCUUUGGUGGCCACUUUGAGUUGUUGAUAUUUUUGAGCUGAUCUAUUUAUACAUUAAAUUGGUCCCAAUCAAAAUCCAUAUGAGGAAGUUAUGGCUCAAAUAAGUUAUGUUGCUCCAAUGGGAUUUUGACAUUUCAUUUUUGACAUUUUCACGAGGUCAUCUUGCCA